GCCGGGAUAGCUCAGCUGGGAGAGCGACAGACUGAAGUGAACAGCUCAUGCUGUGACUUUCUUCUGCAGGUCAGGUGUUCAAUCCACCUUCCUGGCA